UACGUAGGGUGCAAGCGUUACUCGGAAUUACUGGGCGUAAAGCGUGCGCAGGCGGCUAUGCAAGACAGAUGUGAAAUCCCCGGGCUUAACCUGGGAACUGCAUUUGUGACUGCAUGGCUAGAGUACGGUAGAGGGGGAUGGAAUUCCGCGUGUAGCAGUGAAAUGCGUAGAUAUGCGGAGGAACACCGAUGGCGAAGGCAAUCCCCUGGACCUGUACUGACGCUCAUGCACGAAAGCGUGGGGAGCAAACAGG
rnacentral:rRNA from 1 species